rnacentral:misc_RNA from 1 species
AGUAUGUGUAUCUACAUCAAACGACUGACAGACAAACUACUUACCAGUGACAUGGCUGACAGUAAGCCGGUGAAUCACUGUGUCCAAGUAGACUAAAAAUGUAUAAAGCGUGUGAAGAUAAAUCUCCUACAAGCGACAUUUGAGAAAUGGAGAUAUUGAAAUCACGUGGACAGACCUGGCACCGGAAUAUAAGCAGGGGAGGCAAACAGCGUUUCAGACACUCAGAGCUGGAUUCUGUCCUCCUGCCAGAGAAGGACACAGCUCUGCUUCUAAAACCGCUUGGAACUGACGUGUACAGACGAUGGCUGCUCGAGGUGUUGGUCUUGUGGUCCUCAUCCUCGUCAUCUGGUCCUUUGGGCAUGAGUGCAGCUUGUUGUGUGUGCAUCAGACAGCAAUGUCACAAAGGGCGAGGCUGGCAUCAAGUUUGCUGUCCAACAAGAUUUCGCUGAAGCUUAUGAAGCCGCUCAGUAUGAUCUCAGAAACAAGGAGGGUGGCUUCUGUUUUAAUAAACUGUUUCGCACUUGCAACUGAUGCUCAUCUGUUUCCCACGUGACCUGUGGUCACUGCAAUGUCAAGGACAUCCCUACGGACAGUCUCAUCAACGCCACGUGUCUCAAGUCGGAUUCAUCUUGUUUAUAAUUUAUGAAACUUAAUGGGUGUGACCGCCGGUGAUUGAUACUAAUAAAAUCAGAGUGUGGUCCUCACUGUCUAUAGAUGUUUAGAAUACAGUGUACAUGAGUUGGUGAAAAUGCAAAGCUAUAAUAUUUAAGCACUCCACCCAAAUAGUAAUAAAAGUACACAAAGAAAGCACGAGGAGCAUUUUCACUGGUAUCUAUGGACAGGCUUAAGACAUCAAAGCAUGCCGACACAAAAACAGGGAGACAAACAGACAAAUUCAAAUGCAGACAGACAAUUGCAAUGACGAACAUAAAAAAACGAAAUAAAAACAAUCAUUAAAGAAAGAAUGAAGUCAUCCAAGAUUUGUGAAAUGUGCGAAUAGGGUAGAGAGAUCACAAUGACAGCUGAACGACAAUGUGUGUUUGAGUGUGUGAGUGUGCGUGUGUGAGUGGGUGUGAGUGUGUAUGAGUCUGUGUGAGUGUGUGAGUGUGUGAG